rnacentral:rRNA from 1 species
GGGCCCGCACAAGCGGUGGAGUAUGUGGUUUAAUUCGAUGCAACGCGAAGAACCUUACCAGGGUUUGACAUCCUGCGAAUUUCUUGGAAACGAGAAAGUGCCUUCGGGAACGCAGUGACAGGUGGUGCAUGGCUGUCGUCAGCUCGUGUCGUGAGAUGUUGGGUUAAGUCCCGCAACGAGCGCAACCCACGUCUUUAGUUGCCAGCAUUUAGUUGGGCACUCUAGAGAGACCGCCGGUGAUAAACCGGAGGAAGGUGUGGAUGACGUCAAGUCAUCAUGCCCCUUACAUCCUGGGCUACACACGUACUACAAUGCUACGGACAAAGAGCAGCAAGUUCGCGAGGACAAGCAAAUCUCAUAAACCGUGGCUCAGUUCAGAUCGUAGGCUGCAACUCGCCUACGUGAAGGAGGAAUCGCUAGUAAUCGCAGGUC